rnacentral:lncRNA from 1 species
GGGUCCCAAAAGGGUUCGAGGCCUCUUGCCUUCGCUCCGUAGGAGGGAGUUCUCUUCUGGCCCUGGGGGCCGCAGGAAGAAGACCAGCUACAAGGAAAUACUUCUGAAAAAUCACUCUGAACCCCAAGCUGGAGUGAAUCUUCUCCUGAGCUCUCUCAUUCCAGAAUGGCAAUCUUGUUUCAGGAGAGAUCUCUAAUAGUGACUGAUGGUAAAGGAAGAAGGCUGUGCCUAGAACAAAGAAUCAGGCUGGCAAAGAAAUCACAGGUCUUUCCUCAAACUUUAAAUUGCUACUCUCUGGAGAUAGCUACCUGGACUUUACAGAGCUGUCAGAAGACUUGGGAAGGUUUGCCAGCAUUGGAAAAAGCCACUUGGACUUCACAGAGCUGUCAGAAGACUUAGGAAGCUUUGCCAGUAGUUCCUGAGACCAGAAAUACAUAUUAUGAAGCAGGUGCUGGAACAGGCCCUGGCCCCUACUUGUGAAGCUGCAGAUAUAG